CAGACUAAUGAUGUAGGGACUGACUCUUCUCUUCUCAUUGGUCGUGAAUCGUAUCUUACUCCACAGACAUCCCCACUGGCUUCAGUAGGACUGCUCACCAAGUGAGAUGAAAGUAGCUAUGGAAGUGCUGCCGCUGCUGCUAAAUGAAAACGAAAAGCAACAGUUCAAUUGAGUCAGCAAUGCAGAACAUGCCAUCUACAAUGUAACGGCCAGGACAGAUGAUGACAGUGUCUCCUUCAUAGCAGGCACUGACAGCUGUCAGUGGAUCACUGUGGAACUGUAAAGGAGAGAUAAACAAUCAGCUUCAGAAAAUUUCUUCAUCACAGGUCUCAGAACAAAGCUUUUCCCUGAGCAGAGACUGCAACAGACUUGCCAUCAUAGUAGAAGAUACAACAUGAGUGAUCUUCGUACCCGUUGGACGGGAGCCUUUGGCUUGGAGAC